rnacentral:rRNA from 1 species
AACGAACGCUGGCGGCAGGCCUAACACAUGCAAGUCGAACGCUCGUAGCAAUACGGGAGUGGCGCACGGGUGAGUAACGCGUGGGCACCUACCCGGUGGUACGGAAUAACCGCGGGAAACUGCGGCUAAUACCGUAUAAGCCCCUAGGGGGAAAGAUUUAUCGCCAUCGGAUGGGCCCGCGUAGGAUUAGCUAGUUGGUGAGGUAACGGCUCACCAAGGCGACGAUCCUUAGCUGGUCUGAGAGGAUGAUCAGCCACACUGGGACUGAGACACGGCCCAGACUCCUACGGGUGGCAG